rnacentral:rRNA from 1 species
CAGUCGCCGCGGUAAUUCGAAGGGGGCUAGCGUUGUUCGGAAUUACUGGGCGUAAAGCGCACGUAGGCGGAUAUUUAAGUCAGGGGUGAAAUCCCAGAGCUCAACUCUGGAACUGCCUUUGAUACUGGGUAUCUUGAGUAUGGAAGAGGUGAGUGGAAUUCCGAGUGUAGAGGUGAAAUUCGUAGACAUUCGGAGGAACACCAGUGGCGAAGGCGGCUCACUGGUCCAUUACUGACGCUGAGGUGCGAAAGCGUGGGGAGCAAACAGGAUUAGAUACCCGAGUAGUCCCUGUCUCUUAUAC